rnacentral:rRNA from 1 species
UACGGAGGAUGCGAGCGUUAUCCGGAUUUAUUGGGUUUAAAGGGUGCGCAGGCGGCGCGUCAAGUCAGCGGUCAAAAUUCGGCACUCAACGCCGUACCGCCGUUGAAACUGGCGUGCUCGAGUGCGUGGGAGGAUGACGGAAUGCGCGGUGUAGCGGUGAAAUGCAUAGAUAUCGCGCAGAACUCCGAUUGCGAAGGCAGCUGUCCAUCACGCCACUGACGCUCAUUCACGAAAGCGUGGGUAUCGAACA